GAGACAUAUAUCCCCACCUCCACCCCUAGCCCCAUCCCCAUUUACACCAAGGAAAGGCAGUGUGGACGCAGCAAGACGGCUGCUGUCUGCAAGCCAGGAAGAGUUCUCAGCAGACGCUGAAUUGGCUGGAGCUUCCAUCUUUGGCUGCAUCAUUGUACAUUCCCACCAACGCAGAGCUGACUUUUGAAUAGAAGGGAAGGAGUGGGGACAGAGAAGAGCACCUGAGGAAGGAUGGGGGCCUCUCAGGAGCAGGACAUGGGGCUGCAUGUGAGACAGGAGGGAAGUAAGUUCUGCCAGCAACCUGAGGGAACUUAGAUGCCGCUCCGUCCCCCGCUGAGCCUCCAGAGGAGAAUGUGUUCUGUCCACACGUUGGCUGCAGCCUUGUCUGACCUGAGGAGAGGACCCAGAGCAGCCACAUCUGCACCCCUGACCCAGGAAGCUGUGAGCUGCGAGCUGAUACAGAAUUUGGAAGAGUGACACAGAAAUGCAAAUUUCAUCCAAUACAAAUUAGAAAAAUUGUGGCUUCGGUGAUCCAGUAAUCGCCCCUAUUAAACAGCUGGAGUAAGCAGUUAAAAUUCACAAAAUGCGAAAUAGACCUUCCAUGCUGGGACAGAUCUGAGGUCCGUCCAGCACCCUCAUUUUACAGCUGAGUCAUCGCAAGCCCAGACCAGCCAACCACGACGGGCAACAGCCAUGCCGAGAGCAGCAUCUGAAUGCAGAUGGAUGUACCAAACGAACACGGGGUGGAGGAGGUUGAGGAGGGAGGGGUUCAGGAGUCAGCAAAAGCACAAAGCACCCGACCACCAGGUCCACCCAGCCUUAGGAAAGGCUUAGCCCUAAGAGAAGAUAAAGGAACAGCAGGACCUGCAGUUAGCACGGACCUGAGAUUUAGUCCGGCUCAGUGUUCUUCGGUACCGCGGGCACUCAGCCUCUGACUCUCGGCUCCCCUAUCUAUGAAGGGCUUGUGUAAUGCAGGUAUUAUGAAGAGUAAAUUAGAUAAUUUAUGAAGAGUGUUGAGCAUGGUGCCUGGCAUGUAACAUGAACUACCACACACCAGCUAAGACCAACAGAAGGGCUACCUGGUGGGCACAUGACCUUCAGCCCUCGCAAGGACUCUGAUAAGGCCUUUACUGAUGGCUUUACCUUCGAAGGGGAAGGGGAAGCCCAAAACAGUUCCUAGCCACAGAGGACAAAGUGAACCCACAGACCUGCCUUUUCCACCAGAAUACACUACAAAUUAUCUGGAAAAUUUCUCCCCA